rnacentral:rRNA from 1 species
AUUGAACGCUGGCGGCAGGCCUAACACAUGCAAGUCGAGCGGCAGCGGGAAAGUAGCUUGCUACUUUUGCCGGCGAGCGGCGGACGGGUGAGUAAUGCCUGGGAAAUUGCCCAGUCGAGGGGGAUAACAGUUGGAAACGACUGCUAAUACCGCAUACGCCCUACGGGGGAAAGCAGGGGACCUCCGGGCCUUGCGCGAUUGGAUAGGCCCAGGUGGGAUUAGCUAGUUGGUGAGGUAAUGGCUCACCAAGGCGACGAUCCCUAGCUGGUCUGAGAGGAUGAUCAGCCACACUGGAACUGAGACACGGUCCAGACUCCUACGGGAGGCAGCAGUGGGGAAUAUUGCACAAUGGGGGAAACCCUGAUGCAGCCAUGCCGCGUGUGUGAAGAAGGCCUUCGGGUUGUAAAGCACUUUCAGCGAGGAGGAAAGGUCAGUAGCUAAUACCUGCUGGCUGUGACGUUACUCGCAGAAGAAGCACCGGCUAACUCCGUGCCAGCAGCCGCCGUAACAC